UACGUAGGGGGCAAGCGUUGUCCGGAUUUAUUGGGCGUAAAGAGCGUGUAGGCGGCCUGAAAGGUCAGCUGUGAAAACUCGAGGCUCAACCUCGAGACGUCGGUUGAAACCAUCUGGCUAGAGUCCGGAAGAGGAGUGUGGAAUUCCCGGUGUAGCGGUGAAAUGCGCCAGAUAUCGGGAAGAACACCCGUGGCGAAGGCGGCACUCUGGGACGGUACUGAACGCGUGAGACGCG
rnacentral:rRNA from 1 species